AGUGAACGCUGGCGGUAGGCCUAACACAUGCAAGUCGAACGGCAGCACAGUAAGAGCUUGCUCUUACGGGUGGCGAGUGGCGGACGGUUGAGGAAUACAUCGGAAUCUACUUUUUCGUGGGGGAUAACGUAGGGAAACUUACGCUAAUACCGCAUACGACCUACGGGUGAAAGCAGGGGAUCUUCGGACCUUGCGCGAUUGAAUGAGCCGAUGUCGGAUUAGCUAGUUGGCGGGGUAAAGGCCCACCAAGGCGACGAUCCGUAGCUGGUCUGAGAGGAUGAUCAGCCACACUGGAACUGAGAAACGGUCCAGACUCCUACGGGAGGCAGCAGUGGGGACUAUUGGACAAUGGGGGCAAGCCUGAUACAGCAAUACCGCGUGGGUGAAGAAGGCCUUCGGGUUGUAAAGCCAUUUUGUUGGGAAAGAAAAACAGCAGGUUAAUCCCCCGCUGUUCUGACGGUACCCAAAGAAUAAGCACCGGCUAACUUCGUG
rnacentral:rRNA from 1 species